UACGUAGGGUGCAAGCGUUGCCCGGAUUUAUUGGGCGUAAAGGGCGCGUAGGCGGCUACGCACGUCCGUUGUGAAAUCGCCCGGGCUCAACCUGGGCGGGGUCGGCGGAUACGGCGGUGGCUGGAGCAAGCUGAGGGGGCAGUGGAAUUCCCGGUGUAGUGGUGGAAUGCGUAGAUAUCGGGAGGAACACCAGUGGCGAAAGCGGACUUCCGUGGUCCAGCACCGGACGUUCAGGCACGAAAGCGUGGGGAGCAAACAGGGA
rnacentral:rRNA from 1 species